rnacentral:tRNA from 1 species
GCCGGGAUGGAGAAAUUGGUAAACUCGCAACCUUGAGGUGGUUGUGCUGUAAAAAGCUUGCAGGUUCAAGUCCUGUUCCCGGCA